CCGGAGAAUGUUAUCACGGGAGACACACGGCGGGUGCUAACGUCCGUCGUGAAGAGGGAAACAACCCAGACCGCCAGCUAAGGUCCCAAAGUCAUGGUUAAGUGGGAAACGAUGUGGGAAGGCCCAGACAGCCAGGAUGUUGGCUUAGAAGCAGCCAUCAUUUAAAGAAAGCGUAAUAGCUCACUGGUCGAGUCGGCCUGCGCGGAAGAUGUAACGGGGCUAAACCAUGCACCGAAGCUGCGGCAGCGACACUCAGGUGUUGUUGGGUAGGGGAGCGUUCUGUAAGYCUGYGAAGGUGKCCAGUGAGGSWUGCUGGAGGUAUCAGAAGUGCGAAUGCUGACAUAAGUAACGAUAAAGCGGGUGAAAAGCCCGCUCGCCGGAAGACCAAGGGUUCCUGUCCAACGUUAAUCGGGGCAGGGUGAGUCGACCCCUAAGGCGAGGCCGAAAGGCGUAGUCGAUGGGAAACGGGUUAAUAUUCCCGUACUUGGUGUUACUGCGAAGGGGGGACGGAGAAGGCUAUGUUGGC
rnacentral:rRNA from 1 species